UGGUACCAUCAUGUGGCCUGAUGGUUAGAGCAUCCGCCUCGGAUGCGAGAGGCUGUUGGUUCAAAUCCCGGCUGAGUCAU